rnacentral:misc_RNA from 1 species
GUUCAGAAGACCUGCAAUCAUCUGCCCGGUUUGGUUACAAUCAUCAUCAAUAGCCUGUUUGCCUAGUAAAAGAAGGCCAGGCUUCUCAACCUCAACAAGGGCCUUCAAAAGCUUAGCAACAGAGAGAGGAUAAAGGGGUGCAGUGGCUUCCACAUGAAUGCCCCUGUCAGCGCCCAUCGCUAGGCCCGUCCUGAGAGUGUCG